GCUGGGCAUGGUGGUGCGUGCCUGUAGUCCCAGCUACUCAGGAGGCUGAGGCAGGAGAAUUGCUUGAACCCAGGAAGCAGAGGUUGCAGUGAGCUGAGAUCGCACCACUGCACUCCAGCCUGGGUGACAGAGCAAGACUCUGUCUCAA
rnacentral:sRNA from 1 species